GACGAACGCUGGCGGCGUGCCUAAUACAUGCAAGUCGAACGCAUUUUCUUUCACCGUAGCUUGCUACACCGAAAGAAAAUGAGUGGCGAACGGGUGAGUAACACGUGGGUAACCUGCCCAUCAGCGGGGGAUAACACUUGGAAACAGGUGCUAAUACCGCAUAAUUCCAUUUACCGCAUGGUAGAUGGAUGAAAGGCGCUUUUGCGUCACUGAUGGAUGGACCCGCGGUGCAUUAGCUAGUUGGUGGGGUAACGGCCUACCAAGGCUGCGAUGCAUAGCCGACCUGAGAGGGUGAUCGGCCACACUGGGACUGAGACACGGCCCAGACUCCUACGGGAGGCAGCAGUAGGGAAUCUUCGGCAAUGGACACAAGUCUGACUGAGCAACGCCGCGUGAGUGAAGAAGGGUUUCGGAUCGUAAAACUCUGUUGUUAGAGAAGAACAAGGAUGAGAGUGGAAAGUUCAUCCCUUGACGGUAUCUAACCAGAAAGCCACGGCUAACUACGUG
rnacentral:rRNA from 1 species